rnacentral:lncRNA from 1 species
AUGAAGGGUCAUCACUGAGGAGACUGAAGGGGAAUUUUUCAAACCAGGUUUUCUUUCCUCAUGCUCAUGACUUACUGGAUCCUUUCCUGCAUUAAAAUAAAAAAGACAAACCUUUUUUAGAGGAAGACGCUGUUGUGGACAUUUUUCAUAGAGAAACGUACUAUUUGUAGACUUUUUUGGCUCUCCGCCAAUUAAAGCUUUACCGCAGAGCUAUACAUGGAAUCGCCGGCUCCUAACCAUUUUACGGAGGCAUUUUUGGAAGCCCUUCGGGUUCAAGUCCCAGUAAACAACGUUCACAGGUCAGAUCCCUUGGAUGUCAGGACCGCAUCCAUGGAGAAGAGCUGCUCUGAGAGCAUCUGUAACCCUGCUAUGAGGGGGAGCCUCCCACGGGAAGCCUAAGGCCCUUGAGCCUGCUUUGAAAACCUGGGGCAUCUCAGCACAUGCACGGUGAGCUCCAAAGCCACGAAGGGGCCGGGGGCCUCGGGCUGCCCAUGUGCGCCCCGCCCAGAAAGCAGACAGACUGUUGGGCGUGCACCUUCUUCUAGGUCCCCUUGGGCUGUGUUUACCUGCAAGCUCCAUUUCCUGGGCGGCCAUAACUUGAACCUCCAACUGGUCCUUGGCAGCCAUCCUGCUGCCCUUCCUGCCCACGGGCUCCGUGGCUGACUGGCCUGGGAAGCUAGAGGCGACCUCUGAACCUGGACAAGCUACCAGGUCUCCAGGACUGAAGGUUAUCAUCUAAGUUGGUGUUCUCAACUGGAGGCGAUUUACCCCCCACCCAGGAGACAGUUGGCAAUGUCUGGAGGAAAUCUCUUGCCGGAAGCCGUGCCACAGAGCACACAGGCAGUUUGCAGAGAAGGAUGCAACCCACACCAUGUCCGAAGCGGGCUCUGGGGAAGGCAAGGAUAAGGACUCAGGACCUACCGAAUGGCAGAACUAAAAGAGCUAUAACAUAAACAGGGCUGAAACGUGCCCUGUGCUCACCACGCUGUGGGUGAAGAGAAGGAGAGAAGAGAUGCAGCCACUCAGGGAGCCCAGACCUGGGAGCUCCCCGAGCCCAGGCUGUGACUCCCUCUUUGAGGUCCUGUGGUUUCUGGUGUUUGCUGAGCUCCUGAACACCACCACAUUCCCUGGUGCCAGCUGGGGAAGCUGCUUGCCAUGCACAUGGUCAAGCCACAGCCUCACAGAGAGCCAGUGUCUGUUCCAGCACCUGGAGCUGCCCGCCCCACUGCAGCAGCCAGCAUGCCUGACUGUGUGCAGUGGCCGGACCCCAUGCUUGCUCGUUCACACACCCCCUGCCACUCCCCACCUGGCUCACCCUUGGCAGGUGUGGGAUCCAGGCUGGUAGUGUGAACCAAGCACAGCCUGCCAGGCCAGGUGAGCAGAACGAGGUGAGCAGGCCUGAGCAAAAGUCAGGCAAAGGCACCACUGGCCACAGAGUUUUCUGGCCAGAAAAGCAACACCCCAAAGAUCCCAUGAAAAUAAAAGGAGACUGAGCCAGCUGGUGUGGACUUUCCCUUUUCUCUUCCCAUUUUCCUCCUGCUUGAAUACAGAAGGGAUGCUUGUUACCAUGAAAAUGAGGGAAAGACUAAGACAACUGCACAGACAUGGGCCCAGCCAGAAUGGGGCACAGCUUUGAUCUGAACAUUGACAACUGCCUGUCUUCAAAAUUCAUGUUACAUAAGAAAAAAAAAACCUGUAAGUUUAAGCCAUUCAAGUUGGGUUUUCAGUUAUUUGCAUCUGAACACAACACUAAGCAUACAAUGUGCAUGAAGCAAUAAAAGAGCUGUGUCUAUGGAAGUUUGGUUAGUCAAUUAAUGCCACCUUCUCUGUGAAAUCCCAGGGACUUUGAGUUCUGGUCUCUGGCUUUACUUUUUUCUUUUUUUAAAUUUUUUUGUUUUUGAGACAGGGUCUCACUCUGUCACCCAGGUUGGAGUGCAGUGGCGUGCAUGAUCAUGGCUCAUUGCAGCCUCGAAUGAGCAAAUGAUCCUGCACCCUAGGAGCAGGUAAUCCUCCCACGUCAGCUUCCCAAGCAGCUGGGACUAAAGGCAUGUACCACCAUGCCCAGCUAAUUUUUUAUUUUUUGUAGAGACAGGGUUUCACUAUGUCGUCCAGGCUGGUCUCAAACUCCUGGGCUCAGGGGGUCCUCCUGCCUCAGCCUCCCAAAACGCUGGGAUUACAGGCAUGAGCCACCAUGCCUGGCUGGUCUCUGGCUUUUCUUAUGGAACCACAAUGGCCUCUAUAACCUUCUCCCCCCAAAAACUUUAAAAGUUAUCUUCCAAUGGCCAAUUCUUCAAAAUUAAGCAUGUAUUUAUUCCCAAAACUAAGAUUGGCUCUUGACAUGAAGCAACUGUUUCUAAGCACAUUAUCCAUUAUUUCUAUAAAUCAUAUAAAUACUUUGGAAUUUAAAAUAUUCUGCCAUUCAACUUAAUUGAUUUAUUACAUCUAACAUUCACUUGAUAUUUGCUAAGUGACAGGCUUUUUGGAAAGAAAAGAAUAAAACAAAUGGCAUUCACAGUCCAAGGAAAAAGAUAACUGUAAAAAUAAAUAAUUUCAAAAAGACUGAAAGGAAAACCAGCAAAAUAUUCUUUGUGGUUAUCUUGAAUAAGAAGGACUCAUGGGUGAUUUUAAUUUUCUUUUUCUGUAGUUGUCUUUCUUUUUCUGUUAUCACAUUACUGUGAGAAUUAAAUUUAUUAACACAUACAUUGUGUUAUGGUUAGUGCUCAGUACAAAUUAGCUGUUAAUAAGAUGUUUAUAUGCUCAAUUUUAUUAACACAUUAACACAGAAAUAUCCUUCCAUUACACAUGAGUUUUUCAACCAACGAAUGAAUAUAUAUUUAAAUUAUUUUUUUAAAUUUGAUAUAUAUACACAACGGAAUACUAUUCAGCCUUAAAAAGGGGGAAAUGUUGCCAUUUGAAAUAAUAUGGGUGAAUUUGAAGGACAUUAUGCUAAGUGAAAUAAACCAGGUACAGAAAGACAAAUGUUGCAUGAACUCACUUAUAUGUGGAAUCUAAUAAACUGGAACUCAAAAAAGUAGAAAGUGAAAUGAUGGUUCCCUGAGACUGGGGGUGGUGGAGAUGAAUAGGGAGUUGUUGAUCAAAGAGUACAAAGUUUCAGAUAGACAGGAUAAGUAGAUUUUGAGAUUUAUUGCAUAGCAGAGUGACUAUAGUAAACAAUAACAUAUGUUUCAAAAUAACUAAGAGUAUAUUUCAAAUGUCUUACCAGAAAAAAUGAUAGAUAAGUGAGGUAAUUGAUAUGUUAGUUAACUUGACUUAAUCAUUCCAUGUUAUAAACAUAUAUCAAAACAUCACAUUGUACCAGGUAUGGGGUUUCUUCAUGGGGUGAUGAAAAUAUUCUGGAAUUAGAAACUGGUAAUGAUUGAACAACUUUGUGAUCCUAGUAAAAACUGCUGAAUUAUAUAUUUUAACAGCAUGAAUUUUAUGAUAUGUGAAUUAUAUCUCAAUUUAAAAAUGGAUUCUUAGACUGGUUAUCUUUUAAAUUAUAUACUAUAGGAUUAGAGUCCUAUAGCAAAGUCAACUCUGUAUUUCAUAAAAUUGUAAGGGUUCCUUUUUCACCAUAGUUCUCACUUAGAUGUUAAUAGUCCCUUAAAUGGAAAUGACAUCGUAUUUAUAUCCACCAUGGUUUUUACUGACCUCUGUCUCAUGAGUUGUUUUCCCUUCCUUUCACAGUGACAUUUGGUGAGCAUUUUUACAACUUUCUUCUGAAAGUUCAAUAAAGGCCAGGAAAUAUAAAGCCUAAGAUACCUAGUGAAAAAUGGUCUCCUAAAAUAUUUUAAUUUUAUUAAAUUAAAAAAAAUAAAGUAAUUAUUUUAUAUUUUUGAUUUUGAAGUUUUAUAAGUUUUAUGGUUUGGGUUUUGUUUUUUUUUUUUUUUUUGAAAGGGCUGAUCCGGCUUCCUCCCCUUCCUCCUUCUUUCUUUUUAUGGUUAGAGGCCCAGAGAUUGUAGUGAGGGCAGUAAAACACUCCCAAUGCCUGCUGCAAGGCACCUCCCAGGCACAGAGGCAGGUGGAGUAAACACACUGCCUUAUCAAAAGAUAAAGCCAGAGGUUUGGCCCAGAGGGAGGCUGAGAAGGGCAGUGCCCGGAAGAUGAGGGUUUGCCCAUGAUAAACCAUAUCCUGGGGCCUCUCUCACUCCCCACAAGGGAGGGUCAAUUUCAUCAUGACCACAGCUCGAAAGAAUCAUUUUCUAUUAGCAAGACAUCUCCAGGGUGAGAGCCGAUACUGGAGGCCUGUGCUCCCCUCUGCUGUGUGUUUUUUAGACAACAUGUCUUGAGGAUCUCAAACACUCAAACACUGGUUUGUCAUGUCAAGAAGUUUGCUUCAAGUGCCUUCAUUGAUGGACAGAGAAGGCAUUUACUUCCGGGUUCUUGGGCGGGUGGGGGAGGGAGAGGGCACUUUUCUCCUUGAGCCGUGCAUGGAAAGUUCAAUAAGGAAUCAGACUCACUUUGCAUGAGGGAGUUUGGGGACUCUCUGUAAGGAAUUUUUAAUUGUCCCAAGCCUUCUGUAAAGCAGGGAUGGCCCUUCACCCAGGGUGGGACAGGGCCACACCUACAGGCCCAGGAAUGGCACACUGUGACGGACAUUUGACUCACUUUAUGUAGCAACCUUGUUCUUGAAAAGUUCUGUUUAAAUCAAAUUGUACUGGAAGGACUAGCUGCUUAGACGAAUCCAGAACUGUAUUUCUUCAUAACUGGAAAAAACAUGGAGACCCCUAUAAAUCAGCAAUUUGGAAAAUUAGAAUUAUUUUAAGAUGUGCUACCAUUGAAGUCUGUCUGUCUGUACAGGGAGAAUGAUGAGGGGGAUUGAAUAUCUUUUUUCCUCAAUAAACUUGAAGUUGUGUGAGGUCAAAAC